AUGGCAGUGGAAGAUAAAUGCGCAGUGUGUGGAGAAGAUGACUCGUGGAAGCAUUCGUUGAUCGAGUGUACAAUGGCUAAAUGCGUUUGGGCUUUGGCAUCAGUGGAGGUUGCGGAACAGGUCUCCAUGACGCAGCAAGGGAAUGCGAGGGACUGGAUUUUUGAGCUCAUUGAAAAAUUACCCUCUAGUGAAAUGACAGAGGCCUUUGUCUCCCUAUGGGCUAUCUGGCACGCAAGGCGGAAGAACAAGGUACAAGCAAGACAAGUCCAGACCAAUGUCCAGCAAUGGAUCCCCUCACCGGCCGGCUGGACGAAGGUAAACGUGGACGGAGCCUUGGGAAAACAUGAUGACAAGGCUGCCGUUGCAGCUGUAGCACGAAGCUGUGAAGGUGAAUUCUUGGGAGCUUCUUCUGUUGUCUUCACAGGAAUUUCAGAUGCAGAAACCGUUGAAGCUCUUGCAAUAAGGGAGGCUCUCUCAUUGGCGGACGACUUGCUUACUCGAAGAGUUAAGGUGGCUUCUGAUUGCCUUAGGGUGAUAAAUACUCUGAAAGAGGACUCCAAACCAGUAUAUUAUCACAUCACACAGGAGAUUAAGGCCAGAGGUGCGCAGUUGGAUGGCAUUGUUUUUUGUCACGAGAAGCGCAGUUCAAACUUCGAAGCUCACAGGCUUGCUCGAUCAUCACUUAGGUAUAAUGUUGGCCGGUUUGUUUGGCUACUAGAUCCGCCCGAGGGCUUAUGUAUCCCUAGAACUCUUGUGAUAUAA
rnacentral:rRNA from 1 species